UGUUAACAUAUAGAAAAUUAUUUGAAAGUUUACCUGCCACCAUUGAGUUCAAAAGUUGUGCUUAUUGCGAUAGAUAACUAAAUUCAUCAGUAAACAAGGAGUACUUGUAGCCAUCAUUCAUUAUUAGUGACAAUUAAAGCUUAUUAUACCUUAUUAUAAGUGAAGGGUUACUUAUAUGGUAUGUAAUAAUUUCAAUUCAAUAAUCUAGAACCUACUGAUAAGACAUAGUCCAACCGUUCGAUAACGCCUUAACGUAAGAAAUAAAUACAGUUGAACUUCCUUUACUCAAAUCACUAUAAUACAGGAAAAAAAUUAGAGAGACCUCGAAUUAUGGAAGGUAAUUUGUAUGAAAUUUGACUUCUAUGGCCAAUCCAAGAGUUCGAGUUAUGGAGAACUUCGAGUUAUAGAAGUUCGAUUUAUGGAAGUUCAACUGUACUUAACAUCGUUGAUUCCCCUUUUGCUUCGACCGAGUGUGAAAACAAGCGUGUCAAUUUCCACGACAGUCGGUUCUGCGGUACCGGCAUUAACCCAGGUUUUAUCCACCCAAGCGCUGUUAUUCCGGCAAUCUGAACUUGUUUGGAUCGUAUUUAUAAGAGCGAAUUCGGAGAGUCGACUUUCUAGUAACUGUAUGAUCGUCUAAUUAGUUUUUAAGGAAGCAUAUGCAAAUAAGUCACGAGGAUGUCAGUUGGGUUUAGAUAAAUGGAAACUACCAAUGUCGGGCAUUACGAUUCGAUUCCGGUGGCUACCGUGGAAGAAAAUGUUACAAAAGAUCGAGAUCUCCUAAUGACAGACCACCUAUUGAAGUUACGCGAGACAGAGUUGGUCAUAUCCUACAUAAAAUAUUAGAUUUAAGCCCAAUUCGAAGAUUUAUCGUCGACGACUGAUACACGUGCACCAUAAAAUACGAAGACUAUCAAACGGAAAGCUAAUGAUAACACAUUUCUUAUAUUUAAUAAGUGGGAUCUACAUCACCUACAUAGAGAAGAGCAAAACAGUCACAGGUUUCAACUUCUGUCGUCUUUUCACUAAUUAUAUAUAUAUAUAUCCCAUCAACGAAGUGUGUGGUCUGGCGUGAACCUCGUGGAACACUACACCCUUUCUGUUUGUCAAUUCUGGACGCUUCAGGUCGAUCGCCUGCUUCAAGCGGUCCAGUUGUUCGCAGUAGAUGGUAGAAUUAAGCGUUUGGCCAUUUGGGAGCAGCUCAUAGUGGAUGAUUCCCUUCCAAUCCCACCAAACACACAGCAAAACCUUCCUGGCCGUCAAUCCCGGAUUGGCCACUAUUUGGGACGAUUCACCGGCCUUCGACCACGACCGUUUUCGCUUGAUAUUGUCGUAUGUGAUCCAUUUUGGAUCGCCAGUCACCAUCCGCUUCAAAAAUGGGUCGAGUUCGUUCCGUUUCAGCAGCAUAUCGCAGGCCUUGAUUCGGUCCAGAAGGUUUUUUUACAUCAAAUCAUGCGGCACCCAAACAAAAAGCUUUUUUGUGUAUCCAGCCUUCUGCAAAUGGUUUAAAAUGGUUUGGUGACUAACUCCCAUCUCCUGAGCGAUGUCACGAGAUGCCACAUACCAGUCUAACUCGAUGUUUUCCAUGAUUUAUUCGUCGUCACAGGUCUUCCGCCGGCUGGCUUAUCCAUUUGUAGGUUAUGUCAAGACCUCUCAAAGAUGUAUAGUAUUGCCAAAAGAUGAAAAGGCGGAAGGGAGAUAUUUGACAAUCUAAUAUAUAAAGAAGCAUACGCAAAUAACAAAUAAAUAAUAUUCAUUCAAGAAGAUUAACAAGACUUCCAUGAAAAUACCUACAUAUGUAUGUAAUGAAUAAAAUCAAGGCAGUAAUUUUUUUAAAACAUCGCAAUACUUACAACUUUUAAAUAUUUUUUAUUUAAAAAAGAGGUUAUCAUUCACAAUUCACAUAAUGAACUAAGAGAAAAUGCAUUGAAGUAUUUUUAUAUCAAUCGACUAAAAUUUGAUACAAACUGGAAUAGUAUGCCACCAUCUCAUGCACCCUGACGAAAGAUUACAUAGCAAAACAGGCGCAAACUGACAGAAAGAAACGUUAAGAAACUUGUGUGUGCGACGCAUAUUAACUUAUGAAAUUAAUGCAUAAAUCACAAAAAAGUGCAAAUGGAAUUUGAAACUUAAUUAAGCUUGGUAAUAAAUAGUUGAGUGAUGUAAAACAAUGAAAUAGAGAAUUCCAUUAUUGAAUGUCAAAUAUUUUUCAAAAUACCAACAUUUACAAGAUUUUUCAAAUACUACAACUGCAUUCAAAAUUUUUACUUAACCAAAAUUUCUUAAUAUACAAUAAAUUUGUAGAUUUUUCCAUUUAUACAUAAUCAAAAUAUACAUUUUCGUUUCAUUUCUUGCACCUGUUUUAGGGUGUAGAAAAUAGUUUUUUCUUUAACAGCACUCAAAAAGUUCAGUGUUUCUUUAAAAAUUGACAGCUUUUUGUUUUGGCAUAACAAGCCGAAACUUGAUUUGCCAUGCAAUCCAUUUGCUGUUGGGUGGUUAGCAGUGGUGUCAUAUGGUGGUUUUAUUGAGUGUUGAGUUGGAUUGAAUUGGUGGAGAUGAUCGCCAUAAUAUAAUGAUUUUUUUUGUUUUUCCACUUAAAAUCAUUUCAGUUUUGCAUAGGUAUCAACCUUUUUAUGGAACUGAUUG